AAUAUAUGAGAAUGUGGGCAACACUGAUACCGCGAUGCCGCGUGUGUGAAGAAGGUCUUCGGAUUGUAUAGAACUCUAUGUGGGGAGGAAGGGCUUGCGGUUAAUCCCCUGAAGUUUUGAGGUCACCAACAGAUUAAGCACCUGCUAACUCUGUGCCAGCCGCCGCGGUAAGACAGAGGGUGCAAGCGUUAAUCGGGAUUACUGGGCGUAAAGAGGGCGUAGGUGGUUCAGUAAGAUGGGGGUGAAAUCCCCGGGCUUACACUGGGAACUGCUUUAAUAACUGCUGAGGUAGAGUACGGUAGAGGGUAAUGGAAUUUCCGGUGUAGCGGUGAAAUGCGUAGAUAUAGGAAGGAACACCAGUGGCGAAGGCGACUACCUGGACUGAUACUGACACUGAGGUGCGAAAGCGUGGGGAGCAAAC
rnacentral:rRNA from 1 species